CGUAGGUGGCAAGCGUUGUCCGGAAUUAUUGGGCGUAAAGCGCGCGCAGGCGGUCCUUUAAGUCUGAUGUGAAAGCCCACGGCUCAACCGUGGAGGGUCAUUGGAAGCUGGGGGACUUGAGUACAGAAGAGAAGAGUGGAAUUCCACGUGUAGCGGUGAAAUGCGUAGAGAUGUGGAGGAACACCAGUGGCGAAGGCGACUCUUUGGUCUGUAACUGACGCUGAGGCGCGAAAGCGUGGGGAGCAAACAGGAUUAGAUACCCUGGUAGUCCACGCUGUAAACGAUGAGUGCUAAGUGUUAGAGGGUUUCCGCCCUUUAGUGCUGCAGCUAACGCAUUAAGCACUCCGCCUGGGGAGUACGGCCGCAAGGCUG
rnacentral:rRNA from 1 species